rnacentral:rRNA from 1 species
CAGCAGCCGCGGUAAUACGUAGGGCGCAAGCGUUAUCCGGAAUUAUUGGGCGUAAAGAGCUCGUAAGCGGUUUGUCGCGUCUGCCGUGAAAGUCCGGGGCUCAACCCCGGAUCUGCGGUGGGUACGGGCAGACUAGAGUGAUGUAGGGGAGACUGGAAUUCCUGGUGUAGCGGUGAAAUGCGCAGAUAUCAGGAGGAACACCGAUGGCGAAGGCAGGUCUCUGGGCAUUAACUGACGCUGAGGAGCGAAAGCAUGGGGAGCGAACAGGAUUAGAUACCCCAGUAGUCCCUGUCUCUUAUAC